GACAGAGGGUGCAAACGUUGCUCGGAAUCACUGGGCGUAAAGGGCGUGUAGGCGGGAAGGAUAGUCAGAUGUGAAAUCCCUGGGCUCAACCCAGGAACUGCAUUUGAAACUCCCCUUUCUUGAGUGUCGGAGAGGAAAGCGGAAUUCCUGGUGUAGAGGUGAAAUUCGUAGAUAUCGGGAGGAACACCAGUGGCGAAGGCGGCGACCUGGACGGACACUGACGCUGAGACGCGAAAGCGUGGGGAGCAAACAGG
rnacentral:rRNA from 1 species